UCCACUUCCCACGGACUGGCCAUAAAGGAUGAUGUCUUCCUGUUUAGCUCCAUAGGUUUCUUCAAGACAUUUAUAGACAGCUUCAAUAUCAGCAUAUGUAUGGUGCUCACUCGGCUGCACUCACAAGAAAACAAGGUCCAGUUAUAUUUAUAUUUUACUAAAAUUGUUAAAAGAAUAUAUGUUUCCUUGUUGAUUCUAAAGAGCAAACCUUUCCAGUAGAUUGUCCAUAGCCGGAGUAAUCGUACCUGCAAAUACCAAAGCAGAGAGGAAGCACCCUUAAUAGAGCUGAAUCAAGCUAUGAAGCAUCAAGGGUUUUGCAAUGUUCAUAAGCCUUUAAAUGUCUCAUAACCCCGAAAGAACAAUCAAACAGUGAAUCAGAAGAAACCAAAAAGGAUUAUGAAUUCUCCAAAUUGAAACAUUAAGCCAGGUAAAGAAAAUAUCCAAAACCUUCUAUUAAAGACACCAUUAAUACCAAAACCCACAACAUGGGACCAGAUAGAAAAUUCCUAAUAGCCAUUAAAAAAAAAGUCUAUGAAUUUGAUCAUAUCCAGAUACAGACAUCACAAAAACAGAACAAGAUUUCAGACAAGAGGAGCUUCACCAUCAUCAGAGCUAUAUGGAGAUUAGAAAGAGAAAAAAAAAAGAAAAAAAGCAAAAAAGAGUGAAAACUGAACAUACCCCAUGAGAUUAACCUUAAGAUGG
rnacentral:lncRNA from 1 species